AACGAACGCUGGCGGCAUGCCUAACACAUGCAAGCCGAACGAGACCUUCGGGUCUAGUGGCGCUCGUGUGCGUAACGCGUGGGAACCUGCCCUUAGGUUCGGAAUAACUCCCUGUAAGGUGUGCUAAUACCGGUUAAUGUCUUCGGACCAAAGAUUUAUCGCCGUUGGAUGGGCCCGCGUUGGAUUAGCCAGUUGGUAGGGUAAAAGCCUACCAAGGCGACGUUCCAUAGCUGGUCUGAGAGGAUGAUCAGCCACACUGGGACUGAGACACGGCCCAGACUCCUACGGGAGGCAGCAGUGGGGAAUAUUGGACGAUGGGCGAAAGCCUGAUCCAGCAAUGCCGCGUGAGUGAUGAAGGCCUUAGGGUUGUAAAGCUCUUUUACCCGGGAUGAUAAUGACAGUACCGGGAGAAUAAGCUCCGGCUAACUCCGUG
rnacentral:rRNA from 1 species